rnacentral:rRNA from 1 species
GGCGAACGGGUGAGUAACACGUGGGCAAUCUGCCCUGCACUCUGGGACAAGCCCUGGAAACGGGGUCUAAUACCGGAUACUGAUCCUCGCAGGCAUCUGCGAGGUUCGAAAGCUCCGGCGGUGCAGGAUGAGCCCGCGGCCUAUCAGCUAGUUGGUGAGGUAACGGCUCACCAAGGCGACGACGGGUAGCCGGCCUGAGAGGGCGACCGGCCACACUGGGACUGAGACACGGCCCAGACUCCUACGGGAGGCAGCAGUGGGGAAUAUUGCACAAUGGGCGAAAGCCUGAUGCAGCGACGCCGCGUGAGGGAUGACGGCCUUCGGGUUGUAAACCUCUUUCAGCAGGGAAGAAGCGAAAGUGACGGUACCUGCAGAAGAAGCGCCGGCUAACUACGUGCCAGCAGCCGCGGUAAUACGUAGGGCGCAAGCGUUGUCCGGAAUUAUUGGGCGUAAAGAGCUCGUAGGCGGCUUGUCACGUCGGUUGUGAAAGCCCGGGGCUUAACCCCGGGUCUGCAGUCGAUACGGGCAGGCUAGAGUUCGGUAGGGGAGAUCGGAAUUCCUGGUGUAGCGGUGAAAUGCGCAGAUAUCAGGAGGAACACCGGUGGCGAAGGCGGAUCUCUGGGCCGAUACUGACGCUUAGGAGCGAAAGCGUGGGGAGCGAACAGGAUUAGAUACCCUGGUAGUCCACGCCGUAAACGGUGGGCACUAGGUGUGGGCAACAUUCCACGUUGUCCGUGCCGCAGCUAACGCAUUAAGUGCCCCGCCUGGGGAGUACGGCCGCAAGGCUAAAACUCAGAGGAAUUGACGGGGGCCCGCACAAGCGGCGGAGCAUGUGGCUUAAUUCGACGCAACGCGAAGAACCUUACCAAGGCUUGACAUACACCGGAGAACCCUGGAGACAGGGUCCCCCUUGUGGUCGGUGU